rnacentral:lncRNA from 1 species
CCCUAAUUUUUCAUGCCUUAUUCUUGAUUUUUUGGCACCAUUUGACUACUGUCGGUUCAUCAGUCCAAGCUGGCUUUGCCGCCAUUGCUGGCUCCUCCGAUUGUGAGCAUUGUCGGCUAGGAGGAGGACCUCCUUGGUGCUGGGAACAAGAGGAAGAAGAGUCCCCAAUUUCGUUAAAGAAGAGAAGAAGGAAGAGGACAUACGUACCC